AUGAUCUUGAUUCCAAAGGCUGAACGAGAUAGAUUGGAAGAGACUCGUAGGAAUCUGGAAAGACGGCUGGAGGGUUGCGAGACGGAACUUCGUGGCAAAGAAGAUGAACUUUUUCUACAAUUGGAGAGAAGUCUCCGAUUGGAAGAGGAGAUCGAACGCGCGAAAACCGAGAAGGAUAACUAUGUGGCAGCGUAAAAUCGACUAGAGCAGCAGCGAGAGUCAGCCUUUCAUCGUUUGCAGAUGCAGCUCGAGCAGAACGAGAUCACAAGGCGAGAUCUCGACAGAGCGCGCCAAGAUGUUAUCCGACAGGCCACUAUUAUUCGCGCCGAAAGGGAUACUUUGGAGAGAGAGAAUGAAAUGUUGCGGCAGAGACUCAGGGUGGAACAGCAUGAAUUAGGAGUCAAACGUCGAGAAGAAGGCGUUGCGACGCUGGCAAGGGAGACAAUCGCAUUGAAGGACGCUACGCGCCACUUGAGCGCCGCAACAUUUCACGCAACAUCCUGCCAGAAUCGUCGCCGAUGCUCCAUUUGCAUAUAUGCCAGACGCACCUUCGCCAACGUCAAUAAUUAUCGCGACAAUGGAAAUCUCUUGCAGUGCCUUCAAACGCCCUUACAAGAUCUUCGUAGUUGGUUACAACCCAACACAAUCCAGUCGUCAUAGUCUCGAGUUUCACGAAUCGAGUCAUCUAUGGCCGAUCGCGAAAUCUGUUACAUUGACGAUUCCAGCAAUGGUAGCACUAACAGCUGCAGUAAUAGCACCAGCAGCAGCAAUAGCUCUUAUGACGACGAGGCUUAUUCGAACACUCCGAUAGCCGAACCGUCCCUCUCUCUAGUCACAGAACAUAUUAUAACAUUCCUGCAUUGAAAUAUUUCAAAAAUAUUGGAAUAUUUCUGACAAUAUCGGAUAACAUAUUCCGAUGGCAACUGGAUAAUUACAAUCUUAUCUCUUCCAAUAUUACAUUAUUAGUUGAAUUUUGUAUAAAGAUAGCUCGACAGAAAAUGCAGAUAUUUUAUAAAAGAUUAGAAUAGACAAUGU